rnacentral:rRNA from 1 species
GCAUCUAAGCGUGAAGCCCCCCUCAAGAUGAGAUUUCCCAUAACGUAAGUUAGUAAGACCCCUUGAAGAACACAAGGUAGAUAGGUGAGAGGUGUAAGUGCAGCAAUGUAUUCAGCUGACUCAUACUAAUAGGUCGAGGACUUAAUCAAAGAU